rnacentral:pre_miRNA from 2 species
CACUCUAAAUAAGAUAAUUGUGUGAAUUAGUCACUGCGAUUAAAAGAAACUAGAAAUUUUAAAGGAAGUGACUAAUUCUCACAAUUAUCUUAUUUAGAGCGACU